rnacentral:rRNA from 1 species
UGGGGAAUAUUGCACAAUGGGCGCAAGCCUGAUGCAGCCACGCCGCGUGAACGAUGAAGGUCUUCGGUUCGUAAAGUUCUGUUGCAGGGGAAGAUAAUGACGGUACCCUGUGAGGAAGCCCCGGCUAACUACGUGCCAGCAGCCGCGGUAAUACGUAGGGGGCUAGCGUUAUCCGGAUUUACUGGGCGUAAAGGGUGCGUAGGUGGUCUUUCAAGUCGGUGGUUAAAGGCUACGGCUCAACCGUAGUUAGCCUCCGAAACUGGAAGACUUGAGUGCAGGAGAGGAAAGUGGAAUUCCCAGUGUAGCGGUGAAAUGCGUAGAUAUUGGGAGGAACACCAGUAGCGAAGGCGGCUUUCUGGACUGCAACUGACACUGAGGCACGAAAGCGUGGGUAGCAAACAGG